UUGAGAUUCUAUGAAGAUAAUAAAAUCUCACGUAGACUAUUCAUCUUAUCAAUAAUAAUUUAAUUUUUGUGCAUUGCAUUAGAAAAAUAUCUUUCCUCUACUCUUGUAAUAAGGGCUCUAUUUUUAGAUAUCACAAAAUUAUAUCUUUGGUCCAAGACUAUUCUCCCAUGGUUCAUAUCUUUUUGUUUAUAUAAUGUUGACUACCUUUUAAAAAUUGUUUUACAUACAUCUUGAAUUUACUCAAAUCUUCAGUCCAAAUGUCUUCUAAGUCCAUGUUGUAAUUCUCUUGUACAUGAAGACCGUUGUUUCUUUGUCCUCAUCAUUUACGUCAAAAUAAAUUAAUCCUCGUAAAAAAAUUCUAACGGCAAUGUCAAGGAAUUUUUGAAACAUAUGUCUUUGAACUUGUUUAGCUUCAGCCUUUGAAAACCUCCCAUAAUUUAACUUUUCUUCCAUUGGUUAAUGUUGCAUACCAAAUGGUGAUUGUGUCCUUAGCUGAUAUUUAUGGUUCAGUUUUGUUAUUGAUCAUUGAUCUUAGUUGACUGAUCAUAAUAUAUUAAUAAAAAUCAAAUUACAUGGUAAUCAGUAAAUUGGUGAACAAGACAGCAACAAAUUCAAAGUUUAGUGAUGAUAAUCAGUAACAAAUUCAACUCUGAUGAUUCUUUGCAACAAAAGAAUUUAACUAAAUAUCAUUCUUAAUCACAUGUCUAACAAAAAUCAGUCAUUCCAAUUACAUGGUAAUUACAAUAUGCAAAUUGGAAUCCAAGAUAUGCAGAGGCGCAUUCAUAAGCAGUGCUAGUUUUUGAUUGUGUAGUUUUUGAUUGUGAAUGGCGGCUCAUCACGGUGAGCCAGAAAAAUCCGCCAUAAAGUUAUAGCGGAAAAUGGUGGAAAUGGCGGCGGAUUACCUAAAAAAAUAAACAUAUGUACAAAAAAAACUUGCACGAAAAUUGCUAAUAUAAUAAACUAAAAAAUCUAUCUAUAUAAGCAACUUUUUAGUCAUUAAGUAUCCAAUUAAUGUAGCAAAUAUAGUAGCAAAUUUAGCAAAUAAACAUAACAUUAAGUUCAAAUCAUUAACUCAAAAAGUCAUAGGUACCCACAAAAUAAAAGACAUAAAACAUAAAAACUAUAAACUAUCUAAAUUUUAGCUCUCAUCAAAUUUAUCCAAAUUAACACGGAUUGAUGGAGGUACACCUGCUGCAUCAAGGGAACAAUUGGUUACAGAUUUCCAGAAAAAGGAUUCUACCAAGGCUGCUGUGAUAUGUUAUCCAUUAAAGCUGGAGGAGUUGGAUUAACUUUAACUGCUGCAAGCACAAUUAUCUUUGACUGUCCUGGACUCCAGGUGACCUAAUUCUGGCCGAAGAUCGAGCUCAUAGAAUUGGCUAGUAUUCUCACUCUCAUGAAGUAGAAAGGAGAGAGCUGUUACUAGUUGCAUGACAAUAAGAAAACAGAUAAUAUCUCAUGAGGUCUUACUUUUUUUAGCAAAGGCAACAUGCACUGUUAUGGUUCUUUGACUAAUUAUUUCUUGUUUCCAGGUCACUUCAGUAAAUAUAUACUACUUGCUGGCAAAUAAUACGGUUGAUGACAUCAUAUGGGAUGUGGUGCAAUUCAAACUGGUUAAUUUGGGGCAGUCUGAGGUGGUAGUCUUCAAGGCCGAGUUGGAUAAAGGGUUUGAAUGUGGAGCUUGAAUCCAAGAACAAGAAGCUCAGUGAGGAUCUUGCUGCUGCUGAAGCUAAGAUGGUAGUAGCUGUUGGUACCAGUGGCAAGAUGCUGCCUACAUGGACAUUGAAGAAGUCUUAAAGUUUGUUGAUGGGCUUGUUGGUGAACUAUCCUCAUUGGUACAUUUCUCAGAAAAUUAUUGAUCUGGUGGAUGAGCGUGCUGUCUUGAAACAUUUCAAGUGGUCUGAGAAGAAAGCCGAUGCGAUGCAAGAGGCUGCGGUUGAGUAUCAGGAGCUUAAGCUAUUAGAACAGGAGAUUUCCUCCUACAUGGAUGACCCCGACAUUCCAUGUGGAGCUGCUUUGGAAAAAAUGGCCAGCCUCUUAGACAAGUCUGAACUGAGCAUACAAAGGCUAAUCAAGCUGCGAAAUUCUGUCAUGCGUUCGUACCAAGCCUACACAUUCCAACCGCUUGGAUGCUCGAUUCGGGGAUAAUUAGCAAGAUAAAGCAGGCUUCCAUGACUCUAGCCAAGAUGUACAUGAAAAGAGUGACAAUGGAGCUCGAAUCCAACUGGAACACAGACAGAGAAUCUAGCCAAGAUUCUCUUCUGCUUCAGGGGGUUCAUUUUGAAUACAGAGAUUAUCAGUUUGCUGGAGGCCUAGACUCGGAAACACUGCGCUUUCGAAGAGAUAAGGCAACGCGUGCCGGGACACCUUGCAGCAGGGUCUCGAGAACCUUUGGCUGGCAUACCAAUGGCAAUCAUCAUGAAAAGCCAUUGAUUUUCUUCUACUAUGCUCUUUUGGACUCUUGGUUGUCACCACCAAAAGCUGGAAUACUAACAUUCAUUACUAUUAUUCUUUUUUGUUUUCCUCCUUAUCUAUCUCCCUCCAAUGGUCCCAAAAUAGAAGAGAUAACAAAAAUGGAGAAACACCACCAUAUUCACAUCACAAUCAUGCAUGAGAUGAGGUUGAUCUUUAUGAAGAGGGAAUGGCUAAUAUGCUAUCAAAAUGGUUACAAACUAGCAGCUUCCAAGAUCAACAUGUUACAAUAUAGGAAUAGGAUAUUAAUAGUUCAGUGUUAUUAAAUUUCCAACAGUGAAUUUGUUUGGUGUAUGUACAAUGUACUUGUGUUUAUUGCUGUAAUAACAAUAAAUAAUUAAGAGGAAAAGUGUUUACUUAGUUUAUAGCAGUGAUGU